rnacentral:rRNA from 1 species
GGGGGAAAAUUAAUGAUAUUAUGAAUAAAAAAAGAAUUUUUAAUGUGGGGUAGAAAUUAAAGUAUUUUUAAAGAAAAAAUAUCAAUUUUUAUAGUUAAUUAGUAUUAUAAAAGAAAUUUGAAAUAUUUGAAAAAUAAAAUUAAUAAAAAAGUAAUUUUUAUUUAAUGUAUCUUGUGUAUCAGAGUUUAUUAAAAAAUAUUUUUUAUAAAAAAAAAUCUCGAAUUUUAAAGAGUUAAUUAAUUAAAAAAGUUAAUGUUGAAUAAUUAUUUUAAAUAAUUAAUUAGAAAUGAAAUGUUAAUCGUUUUAAAAGAUAUCUGGUUUUUUUAGAAAAAAAUUUAAUUUAAAAUUUAAAAAAUUUUAUUGUAAAUUUUAAAAUAAUAAAAUAUUUAAAAUUAAAUAUAUUAGGGGAUAAGCUUUAAUAUAAAUUUUUAUAAUUAAAUAUAAAUUAAAAUAAAAAUUUUAAAAUUUAUAUUGUUUAUAAAUUGUAGUUUAUUAUAAAAAAUUUUUUUUUUAAUAAAAUUUAAUAAAAUUUAAUUUUUUAUAAAAAAAUAAUUUUUAAUAAUAAAAAAUUAAAAAUAAUGAUAAAAUUAGUAUAUAAUUUAAUGAUAAAAUAUAAAAUUUAAUAAAAGUUAAAUUAAAGGAAUUCGGCAAAAUUUUAUAUUCACUUGUUUAUCAAAAACAUGUCUUUUAGGAUAAUAAUUUAAAGUCUAAUCUGCCCACUGAUAUAGAUUAAAGGGCUGCAGUAUAUUGACUGUACAAAGGUAGCAUAAUCAAUAGUCUUUUAAUUGAAGACUUGUAUGAAAGAUUUUAUGAAAUAUAAACUGUCUCUAAUUUAUAUUUAGAAAUUAAUUUUUUAGUUAAAAAGCUAAAAUUUAUUUAAAAGACGAGAAGACCCUAUAGAGUUUUAUAUUAUUAUUAUAUAAAAUUAUAUUUAUAAAUAAAAAUUAAAAAUAAUAUUAAUAUUUUGUUGGGGUGAUAGAAAAAUUAAAAUAACUUUUUUUAAAUUUAAAACAUAGAUAAAUGAAAGUUUGAUCCAUAAUUAAUGAUUAAAAGAAAAAAUUACCUUAGGGAUAACAGCGUAAUAUUCUUUUUUAGUACAUAUAAAAAAGAAAGUUUGCGACCUCGAUGUUGGAUUAAGAUAAAAUUUAAAUGCAAAAGUUUAAAAUUUUGAUCUGUUCGAUCAUUAAAAUCUUACAUGAUCUGAGUUCAAACCGGUGUAAGCCAGGUUGGUUUCUAUCUUUAAAAAUAUAAAAUAUUUUA